rnacentral:rRNA from 1 species
UGGGGAAUUUUCCGCAAUGGGCGCAAGCCUGACGGAGCGACGCCGCGUAUGGGAUGAAGUCUUUCGGGAUGUAAACCAUUGUCAGUGGGGACGAAACAAAUGACGGUACCCACAGAGGAAGCAUCGGCUAACUACGUGCCAGCAGCCGCGGUAAUACGUAGGAUGCAAGCGUUGUUCGGAAUUACUGGGCGUAAAGAGUACGUAGGCGGUAUGGUAAGUCUGAUAUUAAAGACUGAGGCUUAACCUCAGGACUGUAUCGGAAACUGCCAAACUAGAGGACAAUAGAGGAAGUCGGAAUUCUCAGUGUAGCGGUGAAAUGCGUAGAUAUUGGGAAGAACACCGGUGGCGAAAGCGGACUUCUGGGUUGUUACUGACGCUGAGGUACGAAAGCGUGGGGAGCAAACGG